CAAAGUUUAUUACGGAAGAAAAGAAUUACUAAUUCCGGCAGGAUAGUACAAGACCAGGCCUAUCUGGGAAAUAGAAGAAUUGUUAAGAAAAAGAUUCCUUCAAUCAAGAAACAGUGCAAUAGAACAAGCCAUGAAGGGACAUCACAGAAAAGAAACAUUUCUCUGAGGUUCUUUUUCCAAAAUAAAAACAAUACCUCACUGCAGAAAGAAUGGGAAAAAGAUUGUAAGAUUCUCUCAGUGUAAAUGAGCAAACAUGGAGUCUUGCAGAGUUGAGGAAAAAAGAACUGUCUGUCUGUAGACAGUUUCAUGGAAAAUUCUGAGUUUCAGUGUCAAACCAGUUGUUGAUAAAGAGGAGAUAGGAGUGGAAUCUGAAAGAUGCAAUGAAAUGUUUUAGCAGUCAGGUUCCAGUCUCUUGGCAAGGGCACAAGCACAAAACCAGCAAGUCUCAACGGGUUAAAUUAAAGGCUGUGCACGCUGAGACAACUUUCUCUGCUGGCAGAAGACCUCUGUGUCCCACACCUUGCCCAUCAGGGCAUUUGAAGGAUUUAGGAAUCAGAAGACUCAAUGAAAUGCAACAUAGUACUCCAAAGAG